rnacentral:rRNA from 1 species
GAUGAACGCUGGCGGCGUGCCUAAUACAUGCAAGUCGAGCGAACAGAUGAGGAGCUUGCUCCUCUGACGUUAGCGGCGGACGGGUGAGUAACACGUGGAUAACCUACCUAUAAGACUGGGAUAACUUCGGGAAACCGGAGCUAAUACCGGAUAAUAUAUUGAACCGCAUGGUUCAAUAGUGAAAGACGGUUUUGCUGUCACUUAUAGAUGGAUCCGCGCCGCAUUAGCUAGUUGGUAAGGUAACGGCUUACCUAGGCAACGAUGCGUAGCCGACCUGAGAGGGUGAUCGGCCACACUGGAACUGAGACACGGUCCAGACUCCUACGGGAGGCAGCAGUAGGGAAUCUUCCGCAAUGGGCGAAAGCCUGACGGAGCAACGCCGCGUGAGUGAUGAAGGUCUUCGGAUCGUAAAACUCUGUUAUUAGGGAAGAACAAAUGUGUAAGUAACUAUGCACGUCUUGACGGUACCUAAUCAGAAAGCCACGGCUAACUACGUG